rnacentral:rRNA from 1 species
UAUGGAGAGUUUGAUCCUGGCUCAGGACGAACGCUGGCGGCGUGCCUAAUACAUGCAAGUCGAGCGGACGAUUCAAAAGCUUGCUUUUGAAUCGUUAGCGGCGGACGGGUGAGUAACACGUGGGCAACCUGCCCUGUAGACGGGGAUAACACCGAGAAAUCGGUGCUAAUACCGGAUAACACGAAAUGUCGCAUGACGUUUCGUUGAAAGACGGCGCAAGCUGUCGCUACAGGAUGGGCCCGCGGCGCAUUAGCUAGUUGGUGAGGUAACGGCUCACCAAGGCGACGAUGCGUAGCCGACCUGAGAGGGUGAUCGGCCACACUGGGACUGAGACACGGCCCAGACUCCUACGGGAGGCAGCAGUAGGGAAUCUUCCGCAAUGGACGAAAGUCUGACGGAGCAACGCCGCGUGAGCGAAGAAGGCCUUCGGG